rnacentral:rRNA from 1 species
UCCCAGACUCCUACGGGAGGCAGCAGUGGGGAAUAUUGCACAAUGGGGGAAACCCUGAUGCAGCGACGCCGCGUGAGCGAAGAAGUAUUUCGGUAUGUAAAGCUCUAUCAGCAGGGAAGAAAUUGACGGUACCUGGGUAAGAAGCUCCGGCUAAAUACGUGCCAGCAGCCGCGGUAAUACGUAUGGAGCAAGCGUUAUCCGGAUUUACUGGGUGUAAAGGGAGCGUAGGCGGCCUGCCAAGUCUGAUGUGAAAUACCGGGGCUCAACCCCGGGGCUGCAUUGGAAACUGACAGGCUGGAGUGUCGGAGAGGCAAGCGGAAUUCCUAGUGUAGCGGUGGAAUGCGUAGAUAUUAGGAGGAACAUCAGUGGCGAAGGCGACUUUCUGGACUGUAACUGACGCUGAGGCACGAAAGUGUGGGGAGCAAACAGGAUUAGAUACCCUUGUA